rnacentral:lncRNA from 1 species
AAUAAUAAUAUCAUCAUCAUCAUCAUCAUCAUCAUCAUCAUCAUCAUCAUCAUCAUCGUCUAGGUCUUGGGAUUUGCGGGAUGCUCCUGGCUCUGAAAAUAAACUGUCUCUGAGAUCCCCAGGGUAGAGAAACAUGGGGAGGUUACAGGCAUUCUGCUGCAGGAUUGUCUCUUCUUUAUUCACUUCUCUCUCUUACCAUUGCUUCCUCCACAGAGGAGACUGGAAAGGUCUAUGCCAACUCCAGCAAGGUGUGGGUCCAGGAAUACAUCAGCAACUGGAAUUAAACCCCGGCAAGGUCUGGACCCAGCAAGAAAAGUGCUAGAGAUGUGAACAGAUUGGGCACAGGGACCCAAAACAGGCAAAAGUCUCUGCAACCUCAGAAACUGAUUCCAGAUCUGGGGGUCUAACUUCAUUUUAAAUGAAGAAGGUGCCAGAGGCUUACUGUUUGCUUAAACUCACAGAAGGCCCUAUGCAUCUUGUUUGCAGCUGAAUCUCCAGUGCUCUGCUCAUGGCUAGAAUGGGGAUAAUUCCCAAAGAUACGAAGAAAUCGAAGCCCAAGAUGGGUGGCUUCUCAGUCCCUUGACUUGGAUGAAGUCCUCUCUAUCAGCUGAGAAAACACAUGGUAGAGAUUGAUGAUCUUUGCAGAUUCUUGGGAGGCAGACAGGUUGUGGAAUAUUGAAGAUGAGAAAAUAGCACCCAGCUUUCCAAAAAAGGAGGGAGAAAGAAAAUAGACGAUAGACUCCAUCAACUUCAGAGUGGUCAGCUGCCUCUAGACUAGUCAAGAUUCUACAUAUACCUAUACAAUUCUUUUUUUUUUUUUUUUUU